rnacentral:rRNA from 1 species
AGGACGAACGCUGGCGGCGUGCCUAACACAUGCAAGUCGAACGCGCUCCAUUCGGUAGCAAUACUGAUGAAGAGUGAGUGGCGAACGGGUGAGUAACACAUGAGCAACCUGCCCCGAAGACUGGGACAACACCGGGAAACCGGUGCUAAUACCGGAUAUCCCUAUCGGACCGCAUGAUCUGAUAAGGAAAUGGAUUCCGCUUCGGGAGGGGCUCGUGGCCUAUCAGCUAGUUGGUGAGGUAACGGCUCACCAAGGCAUCGACGGGUAGCUGGUCUGAGAGGACGAUCAGCCACACUGGGACUGAGACACGGCCCAGACUCCUACGGGAGGCAGCAGUGGGGAAUCUUGCGCAAUGGGCGAAAGCCUGACGCAGCAACGCCGCGUGGAGGACGAAGGCUUUCUGAGUUGUAAACUCCUUUCAGCAGGGACGAUAGUGACGGUACUGCAGAGAGCACGGCCAACUACGUGCCAGCACGG